ensembl:lncRNA
AUGUUCAUUGGCCACAGAGUUUAUUUCCUGCAAUAAUCCAAAACCAAUUUAAAAAAAAAAUUGUCAUUAGCUACAGACAGUUUCAUAAAACAGCACUUUAACAUGAAAGAAUUACUCUGAAAAGACCAAGACAGCAGUGCUUUUCACAAUAUUAUCUCAUUGAAAAGAACAAUAGAAAAUAUUUGAAGCUAUAAGGGCCAUAAAAAUACAUUCACGACUGGCCUCUUUGCAAACAGCAGUCAAUAAACCCUGUAAAACAUGUGUUCAUUAUAUGUGGUGACAUGACCCCAAGAGCCCUAUUAAUGUGUUUAUUUGCAUUGUCCAUUCCCAGAUCUUUGCCAAAGUGUGGGAAUUAUAUCGCUUCCCUUUAGAGUGACAUCUGUGGGAUCUUUCUCUGUUUCGACAUUUGAGACAAUCGUGUGGAACGCUGAGAUGUACAAUGAGAGAGAUGCUGGGAGAGAUAUAUGAUACUGUGAAGAACGGGCUAAUCUCCCUUCCAAUCUGUCUGGCUUUUUCCAUCCAUCGAUUUUUUUUUUCUGCAAAAAGCCUUACAUAACUUGGCUGAAAAACAACAUACAUAUAAUCUGUAUGUCACAGAUGUCACUGUAAUCUCAGUGUUUAUGAUCAGUUUCUAUAGGAGCCCAAAGCUUUUGAAGUCUACACGAUCUCUCACAAAUGAGCCUCAAUUCUGCUAAGCUAAUUAUAUUUGCUGUAUUUGCUACCUACUGUACUGCUAAACCCAUCCUCCCCGCAAGAGUGCAGUAAGAUAUAAAUUGGCUGCGUUUAGAUUGUUUAGCCAAUGGACCUUUUUCUCAUUUCCGGGUUUCUCACACAGACUGUAUAAAAACACGGACGUAGUGUCCGUGAUGUCACCCGUAGUUUUCUGAAGAGCGUUUUUGAAGCUCAAAGUGGGUGGAGCGGGCCGUUGCCAUCUUGGCAGCGCGUCACUCCCGGAUCAUCGAAAUGGGCAAAAAGGCGGAGCUGAAGCCACGGAUAAUUUAAACGGAUGAGUUAUAAAAAAAAUGUUGUCAUGAAGGGCAAAAUUAGCUAUAGACCAAAAUCAUUUUCUGAACCAGGCUGUAAACGUUUUUUUUUUCUGCUGUGAAGUUGGGCAUUUUAACAUGGGGAGUCUAUGGGAUUACUCUCUUUUGCAGCCAGCCUCUAGCGGCCAGUGGACGAAUUACAGUUUACGUCACUUCCGUGUUGGUUUCACGAGAGAGAGCGGGAGGUUGCCGCUUGGUUUCUCAGCAGGGUAGUCAUCCUAAUUGGGUUAACUUGAAGAGCAGUCAAUGGUAGAGUAGGCUACCACAAAUAUAUUUUUUGCAUUCCCAUUUGCUCAAAUAGCAAAAGAAAAACUCCACGAUAGUGUUUUCAUGACUUUCAAUAAAACGAAAAAAAAAUUGAGAGAGACUGAUAACGGCAGUCAGAAGAGAGAACCGUGUCAAAUUUACCAUUGCUCCCAUAGACGCUGCAUUAGAAACACUCUCGCAUGAGCGUUAACUGUUGUUUUUUUUUGUGUGUGUGUGUGUGUGUGUGUGUGUGUGUGUGUGUGUGUAAUCUGAAGCAAAGUUAUUAUAAUACAAUGAAUAGUGUUAUAAAUGUACAUGUUUGUAAAAAUACAGAUAUGAAAGACUUUUGAGGAUUUACCAUGCUGAUGACCGUUAAACACAUCAUCACAGUCCUGUGAAAAGGGUUCAUCAGAACACUUUUGAAGCGCUUUCUACCAGCCACCUAUUUGGCGUGUUUACAGCAGGAAGUCCAUAUUUGGGAUGCCGGAAGCUGAGAGCUGGUAGAUGAACUUGGAGCGGUUUUUACAAGUUUUGGGAGAGAAUGUUGACAGUUUCUCAUCUGCCAUACAGCCAAGCGUCUUAAAGAAUACAAAGACUAAUAACAUAAGUAAAGAGACCAGAAAGCGAGGGAACCAAAAACAAGGCGAGAAUGAACAUCGGUAAAGGAUAUCAUCGCUGGAAGAAGCACGUGCGUUUGCGUCACUUCUGACUGAAAGGUAAAUAUUCACUUUAGGUUUUCUAGGUUCACUUUAUUUACACAAUCAAAUAAUUUCAUACUUUUCCACAAUUUUUUCAUAUUAUUAUUUAGCUCAUAUUAUUUCAGCAGUGUUCUGCCCAAAAUAGGCUUGAGAAUAUAAAAUGUUCAAAUCUUGACGGUUUGAGAGUUUAAAAGAUAUGUAAAACAAUAAUAGGCCUAUUAGGCUAUUGUAACACUGUAAAUGAAUAAAAUAUGUAAUCUUUUAUUAGUGUUUUAUGUUCACUUUAUCUGUUUUUGUUUCUGUAUUAUUGUUAUUAUUAUUAUUUAAUAAUAUUUAAUUAUAGUUAUAAUUAUUAUUUUAAUGUCUAAUUCUAAUAAUUUCAUGAAUAAUUAUAGGCUAAUUAUACUUUUAUUUACUUAAUGUAAUGUGACCAUUAAUUAAUCAACCAAGUAGUUAACCAAUAAUUAGAUAAAUGUGAAUAUGUUCUUAAAUUAUUGAAUUAUCAAAAUAAAAUCUCAGGGGAUGCUAAGUUAUUUCACAUGUUUUGUGAAGAAAGAAUCAUACUCAUGAAAGAAUCAUUCUUUUGAGUCUAAGCUUUUUAACUAAUCAGUUGAACAGGUUACAGAUCAUUUACAAAUGUUGAAUGAUUAAUUCCUGAAUCAUGAUUAUAGUGUUUUCGAGUUAAACUCACUCAAAAAUCUUGUUCCUCAGCCUUGACGUUAUCCUUUUUGAAGUUUGAAAGCUCCUGUUAAUUGUAAUUGCACUGAAAAUUG